CAGUCGCCGCGGUAAAACAGAGGAUGCAAGCGUUAUCUGGAAUGAUUGGGCGUAAAGCGUCUGUAGGUAGCUUUUCAAGUCCGCCGUCAAAUCUCAGAGCUCAACCCUGGACAGGCGGUGGAAACUGCCAAUCUAGAGUAUCGGAGAGGAAAGUGGAAUUCCUAGUGUAGCGGUGAAAUGCGUAGAUAUUAGGAAGAACACCAGUGGCGAAGGCGGCUUUUUGGCCUGUAACUGACACUGAGGCGCGAAAGCGUGGGGAGCAAACAGGAUUAGAUACCCCCGUAGUCCCUGUCUCUUAUAA
rnacentral:rRNA from 1 species